rnacentral:tRNA from 1 species
GCCUUCGUGGUGUAGUGGUCAGCACACUCGGCGCGUAUUCCAGAGGUCCGCGGUUCGAUUCCCGGAGAGGGCA